GGCUUUAUUUUCUUUUACUCUAGAAGCAUCUACAUCUUUCUCCGCUCUUCCACUGAAAAUAUAUAAAUAUCUCAUUUGCAUUAAUCUUCAUUAGUUUUCGUAGAUUUUCAAGACUAAUGGGUUGAGACUUUGAGUUCCCUUAUAUUUUCAAGACUAUUGGGUUUGAGAUUAUUUCCAAGUUUCAUUCAUCUUUCUCAUUAAAUGGAUAUAUUUCUUCAUAUCUACAUAGAAGACCAGAAAUUUUAUGUUUUUGCGCAAUAGUAGGGAAGAUGAUGAUGAAAUAUAAGGACAUCAUUCAAGCAGCUAUUGAUAGGCCUCAGCUUGGUGACUAUUGAGGGUGACCGGAUACAAGGAAUACUAUUCAGAUUGGUAUGGUCUGACACAUCAGUGGGGAACCCAAUCCAGGCGACACAUCAGCGGCGAACCCGGUCGAUAAACCGAUUUCAUACAAGGUUAAUGGGCUAGGCUAAUGCGGCCCGACCCAGUAACAAGCUUGUGGAAGGUAAGAGUAGUAUUAUAAUUUAAUGAUGGUACUUAAUUCACUUUAAAAUCGUUAAGGGGGUGCUUAAAUGUCGUGUAAUUAAAGAGCUAAAAUAAGUUUACCAAGUUUUGAUAUUCUUUUUGUAGUGUUUUUGUUUGAGGAUGAAAAAGUAUCUCUUAAUAUAAGUUAAAUUGAUUACUUGUUAUACCAUUAAA